rnacentral:tRNA from 1 species
GGUUCCGUAGUUUAGUGGUUAUGACGUUCGCUUCACACGUGAAAGGUCUCCGGUUCGAUCCCGGACGGAACCA